UACGUAGGAAGCAAGCGUUGUCCGGAAUCACUGGGCGUAAAGCGCGUGUAGGCGGUAUGGCAAGUCUGCUGUGAAAGCGCUCGGCUUAACCGGGCGAGGUCGGUGGAAACUGCCACACUGGAGGACGGUAGAGGGGGGUGGAAUUCCCGGUGUAGUGGUGAAAUGCGUAGAGAUCGGGAGGAACACCUGUGGCGAAGGCGGGACUCUGGGCCGAUACUGACGCUGAGGAGCGAAAGCGUGGGGAGCGAACAGG
rnacentral:rRNA from 1 species